AUUGAACGCUGGCGGCAGGCUUAACACAUGCAAGUCGAGCGAGCGGCGGACGGGUGAGUACUGUCUGGGAAACUGCCUGAUGGAGGGGGAUAACUACUGGAAACGGUAGCUAAUACCGCAUACCAUCAGAUGUGCCCCGAUGGGAUUAGCUAGUGGGUGGGGUAAUGGCUCACCUAGCCGAAGAUCCCUAGCUGGUCUGAGAGGAUGACCAGCCACACUGGAAAUGAGACACGGUCCAGACUCAUACGGAAGGCAGCAGUGGGGAAUAUUGCGCAAUGGGCGAAAGCCUGAUGCAGCCAUGCCGCGUGAGUGAAGAAGGCCUUCGGGUUGUAAAACACUUUCAGCGAGGAGGCGUUACGCGCAGAAGAAGCACCGGCUAACUCCGUGCCAGCAGCCGCGGUAAUAC
rnacentral:rRNA from 1 species